CCUACGUGAGGCAGCAGUGGGGAAUAUUGGACAAUGGGCGAAAGCCUGAUCCAGCAACGCCGCGUGAGGGAUGACGGCCUUCGGGUUGUAAACCUCUUUCAGCAGGGACGAAGCGCAAGUGACGGUACCUGCAGAAGAAGCACCGGCCAACUACGUGCCAGCAGCCGCGGUAAUACGUAGGGUGCGAGCGUUGUCCGGAAUUAUUGGGCGUAAAGGGCUCGUAGGCGGUUUGUCGCGUCGGGAGUGAAAACUCAGGGCUUAACCCUGAGCCUGCUUCCGAUACGGGCAGACUAGAGGUAUGCAGGGGAGAACGGAAUUCCUGGUGUAGCGGUGAAAUGCGCAGAUAUCAGGAGGAACACCGGUGGCGAAGGCGGUUCUCUGGGCAUUACCUGACGCUGAGGAGCGAAAGUGUGGGGAGCGAACAGGAUUAGAUACCCUAGUAGUC
rnacentral:rRNA from 1 species